UGCCAGACUCCUACGGGAGGCAGCAGUAGGGAAUUUUGCGCAAUGGGCGAAAGCCUGACGCAGCAACACCGCGUGAAUGUUAAGCCCUUCGGGGUGUAAAAUUCUGUCAAUAGGGACGAAUUUUGACUGUACCUAUAAAGGAAGCACCGGCUAACUCCGUGCCAGCAGCCGCGGUAAUACGGGGGGUGCAAGCGUUGUCCGGAUUUACUGGGUGUAAAGGGCGUGCAGCCGGGAAGACAAGUCAGAUGUGAAAUCCCGCGGCUCAACCGCGGAACUGCAUUUGAAACUGUUUUUCUUGAGUACCGGAGAGGUCAUCGGAAUUCCUUGUGUAGCGGUGAAAUGCGUAGAUAUAAGGAAGAACACCAGUGGCGAAGGCGGAUGACUGGACGGCAACUGACGGUGAGGCGCGAAAGCGUGGGGAGCAAACAGGAUUAGAUACCCGAGUA
rnacentral:rRNA from 1 species